rnacentral:ribozyme from 17 species
AAGAAAGUCACUCCCUCGUUCGGAAGGUGGUCUUCACAAUAGGAGUUGGGACAGGCGUGGCACGGAAAGAGGAUUCCACCCGCAUCGGAUCGAUUUUUGCCACAAACAACACAACGGUGGUGACUGCAGCAAUGAAAGUCUCUGGCGUGUCGGAGGCCGACGCACGAAAGAUGAACCGUGUUUGGGCACAUGCUGCAACAAACGAGAGAUCCCCCGUCGCCGCAAAU